rnacentral:rRNA from 1 species
UACGUAGGGGGCAAGCGUUGUCCGGAUUUACUGGGCGUAAAGAGCGUGUAGGCGGCCACGCAGGUCCGUUGUGAAAACUGGAGGUUCAACCUCCAGCUGUCGACGGAAACCGUGUGGCUAGAGUCCGGAAGAGGAGAGUGGAAUUCCUGGUGUAGCGGUGAAAUGCGCAGAUAUCCGGAGGAACACCGGUGGCGAAGGCGGCUUCCUGGACCGACACUGACGCUGAGGCGCGAAAGCUAGGGGAGCAAACGGG